rnacentral:rRNA from 1 species
CCUACGGGUGGCAGCAGUGAGGAAUAUUGGUCAAUGGGCGGAAGCCUGAACCAGCCAAGUCGCGUGAGGGAAUAAGGCCCUACGGGUCGUAAACCUCUUUUGCCGGGGAGCAAGGGCGGGGCCGUGUCCCGGCCCGGAGAGUACCCGGAGAAAAAGCAUCGACUAACUCCGUGCCAGCAGCCGCGGUAAUACGUAGGGAGCGAGCGGUGUCCGGAAUUACUGGGGGUACAGGGAGCGUAGGCGGGCGAGAAAGUUGAAUGUUAAAUCUACCGGCUUAACUGGUAGCUGCGUUCAAAACUUCUUGUCUUGAGGGAAGUAGAGGCAGGCGGAAUUACUAGUGUAGCGGUGAAAUGCGUAGAUAUUAGGAGGAACACCAGUGGCGAAGGCGGCCUGCUGGGCUUUAACUGACGCUGAGGCUCGAAAGCGUGGGGAGCAAACAGGAUUAGAUACCCUAGUAGUC